UACGGGGGGGGCAAACGUUAUCCGGAGUUACUGGGCGUAAAGGGCGUGUAGGUGGUUUCGUAAGUCUGGCGUGAAAUAUCUCGGCUUAACCGAGGCAGGUCGUCGGAUACUGCGGAACUAGAGGACGGUAGAGGCGUGUGGAAUUCCGGGUGUAGUGGUGAAAUGCGUAGAGAUCCGGAGGAACACCAGUGGCGAAGGCGACACGCUGGGCCGUACCUGACACUGAUGCGCGACAGCAUGGGGAGCAAACAGG
rnacentral:rRNA from 1 species